AUCUAAUGGUGUGGGCAGCUUGCACAUAGCUUUUUAAAUCUCUCCUAGUAUUCAUACAAGCUUUCCUCACCUAGUUGCCUAAUCCCAGAAAUGUCCUUUCUUAUGGC
rfam:Vigna angularis cultivar Jingnong 6 chromosome 4, whole genome shotgun sequence.